AAAUCACCUGGGAAUACAUGGUGUUGUGGUGGCUCUCUCCUUCACAGUCUGUCAGUGACUACAAAUGAGACCCUGGAUAAACACAAAUAUCUGUAUCAGGAUCCAGCUAUGACUAUACUGGACAGACAGACAGUGAGGCAGACAGACAGACAGGUAUUUCCAUCCUGUUAGAAUAUGCAGGCAUUAUGGAGGGGAACCAAGAAGACGUCAUGUCGCAAGGUGAAUGAACCACAAGGCAAAGGCAUCACGGGAAGAGGAUUUUGGCUGGCGGAGUGAGCGCAGGAAUGGCGUCGGACAGACAGUGUGACCCAGGGCUCAGGUGGCAGCUGUGCUACGACUUCUCUGCCAGGUCAUGGUGGAUGGUAGGGAUACUCCCUGUCUAUCUCUAUCGCUUUCUCCAUCACUCCCGCUUUCUUCUCUCUCCAUUGACCAUCUCUUCAUUAAGUUGAAAAAAAUGUAUUUAACUAAAAUGACAUUUGAGUGGAGGUUGUUGCUCAGGUAUAGGGCAUAGGAAAUGUUUUGUUACUGUGGGUAUCUAC
rnacentral:lncRNA from 1 species